CCGCCGACGGUUCCAGUCAGCGGCUGGCAGGAGGCCUUGCCUGGGAGGACGGGAGAAGUCGUUCAGACCGAGUCAACCGAGCCGACUCGGCUUGCUGCCGCAUCCCGGAUCCCGCAUCAAAUUUAACAUAAAUUAUCUAUACAAACCCUGAGCCUCUCGUACUACUCAGUAGCCGUGAAAUGCAGCAACUGUUCAGAAGAUAUUGAUGAGGCACCUUGUUGACCUACUGCAGUCUCAUGCUACUGGAGAGAGUUGCAGUAUUAUCUAAGGAAGAGCCCGUAACUUAUUUCCACAUAAGGCCGAGAAAUCAAUGAAAAACUGCGCACAAAGACGGAAACAACCAAGGUGCACGAUGAGUAAAUAAACACUGACAAUAUAAGUUUAUACAUUCCAUAAGUUGUGCAAUCAAUUCAGAGUUGAGGUGAGUCAAGUUAUCUAUUGAGGUGAGUCAAGUUAUCUACGCUGCUUCAGGAGCCUGAUGAAGAAUAAUAAUAACUGACGUUGAUUCAAACCCAACCAUAAUGGAUGCCUCCUUUCAGCCCAAGCAUCAUUUGAUGUAAUACCAAACCCAAUUCUCACAAAGCAAGUGUCACUGCCAUUCAAAACUCUACCAUACCAGUUAAACCUCUGCAUUUAAUCAUUACACCCCAAGGAUCAAAGCACACAAACCACACCCCCAGGAGGGUCAUGUGAACACAUCCUCCUAACCUGAAAAAAAAUGCAAGUUUGGACCCCAGGGCAUAUAUAGGGACCUUGGAAUACACAUCAAAAUAUUCAGCACAGGUACACAAGCUGGUUAAGAUGGCAAAGUGCUACUUGCUCUAAUAGAUUAUAAGAGCAGGAAGGUUAUGGUACAACUAUGUGAAUCCUAGUUAAGCCACAGCCUGAAUGCUGUGUUCGUAUUGUUGGAGGGGUGCAGAAGAAAUUCAACAGGAAUCUGAAAGGCAGCAUUUCAGCUACAAAAAACAAAAGGAAGGUUUCCUUUGAAGCAGAGAUGACUGAAGGGCGACCUGAACCAGGAAUGCAAAAUUCAGAAGGAUAGCAAGAAACUCUUUCCCUUAAUAUAGACGUCCAUGACCAGAAGUCAUUAUCUGAAGGUGAGAGGUAGAAGUUUAGAUCUGAAUAUACUCCCCAACGGAGGGCAAGAGACAGACACACUGUCGUUUUAAAAAGCAUUUAAAUAAGCACUUAAAAGGACAGGAUUAUGAGUCAAACAUUUAAAAUGCCAUUUUCGUAGAUAGGAAUUUGACGGCUAGCAGAAAUAGUGAACCAAAGGGUAUUUUCUCUGCUGCAUGCCUACGAGUUUGUCAAGUUCUCAUUUCCGAGGUCCACCUGCUUCAUACCAACGAUUUGUGCGUGCACCC